rnacentral:rRNA from 1 species
AUUGCCCCAGUAACGGCGAGUGAAGCGGCAACAGCUCAAAUUUGAAAUCUGGCCCCCAGGGCCCGAGUUGUAAUUUGCAGAGGAUGCUUUUGGCGCGGUGCCUUCCGAGUUCCCUGGAACGGGACGCCAUAGAGGGUGAGAGCCCCGUCUGGUCGGACGCCUAGCCUGUGUAAAGCUCCUUCGACGAGUCGAGUAGUUUGGGAAUGCUGCUCUAAAUGGGAGGUAUAUGUCUUCUAAAGCUAAAUACCGGCCAGAGACCGAUAGCGCACAAGUAGAGUGAUCGAAAGAUGAAAAGCACUUUGAAAAGAGGGUUAAAUAGUACGUGAAAUUGUUGAAAGGGAAGCGCUUGUGACCAGACUUGGGCCCGGUGGAUCAUCCAGCGUUCUCGCUGGUGCACUCCGCCGGGUUCAGGCCAGCAUCAGUUCGCCGCGGGGGAAAAAGGCUUCGGGAACGUGGCUCCUACGGGAGUGUUAUAGCCCGUUGCAUAAUACCCUGGGGCGGACUGAGGUUCGCGCUCCGCAAGGAUGCUGGCGUAAUGGUCAUCAGCGACCCGUCUUGAAACACGGACC